AACACAUGCAAGUCGAGCGGGGAAGUAUAGCUUGCUAUACGACCUAGCGGCGGACGGGUGAGUAAUGCUUAGGAAUCUGCCUAUUAGUGGGGGACAACAUUCCGAAAGGAAUGCUAAUACCGCAUACGCCCUACGGGGGAAAGCAGGGGAUCUUCGGACCUUGCGCUAAUAGAUGAGCCUAAGUCAGAUUAGCUAGUUGGUGGGGUAAAGGCCUACCAAGGCGACGAUCUGUAGCGGGUCUGAGAGGAUGAUCCGCCACACUGGGACUGAGACACGGCCCAGACUCCUACGGGAGGCAGCAGUGGGGAAUAUUGGACAAUGGGCGCAAGCCUGAUCCAGCCAUGCCGCGUGUGUGAAGAAGGCCUUUUGGUUGUAAAGCACUUUAAGCGAGGAGGAGGCUACUUGGAUUAAUACUCUAGGAUAGUGGACGUUACUCGCAGAAUAAGCACCGGCUAACUCUGUGCCAGCAGCCGCGGUAAUACAGAGGGUGCGAGCGUUAAUCGGAUUUACUGGGCGUAAAGCGUGCGUAGCGGCUUUUUAAGUCGGAUGUGAAAUCCCUGAGCUUAACUUGGGAAUUGCAUUCCGAUACUGGGGAAAGCCUAAAGUUUUGGGAAGAGGAUGGUUAAAAUUUCCCAGGUUGUUACCGGGUGAAAAUUGCCGUUAAAAAAAUCUUGGGAAGGAAAUUANCCGAAUUGGGCGAAAAGGCNAGCCCAUUCCUUGGGNCCUUAAAUUAAUUGGAACNCCCUUNAANGGGUACCCAAAAAAAACCCUU
rnacentral:rRNA from 1 species